CGGGGGAGGCCGGAUCCUGGGCUGUGUCCCGGCUCCCAGUGCUCCGGGGCCUGCGCUGUUGGAUUGUGCUCCCCACCCCCUCCGCGGAGCCGCCG
rnacentral:pre_miRNA from 1 species